CGUGUCUGUGGCGUCAUCUUGACGCGCUUUCCGUGUCAAUAUGGCGGCAUCCAUGGCAUCCCAGGCUGCAACGAGAGGACUUAGGGCAGCCACGCCAAAGCAUCUACUUAUUAACAAACUCAAGUACAACUGGUUAAGUCCUAAAAGAUGGCUGAAUCUUCAAGAGUACCAGAGCAAAAAGUUGAUGCAAGAGUGCGGUGUGGCUGUCCAACGCUUCUUUGUAGCUGACACUGCCUCUGAGGCUUUGGAGGCUGCAAAGAGACUCGAUGCCAAAGAGAUUGUGUUAAAAGCUCAGAUUCUGGCUGGUGGGAGAGGCAAGGGUGUGUUUGACAGUGGCCUCAAAGGUGGAGUGCAUCUAACGAAGGACCCAGCAGUUGUUGGUGAACUGGCCACUAAGAUGCUUGGUUUCAAUCUGACGACCAAGCAGACACCGAAAGACGGAGUGAAAGUAAAAACGGUGAUGGUUGCUGAGGCCUUGGACAUAAGCAGGGAGACUUACUUUGCCAUUCUAAUGGAUCGUUCAUGCAAUGGUCCUGUUAUGGUUGGAAGCCCCCAGGGAGGUAUGGAUAUUGAGGAAGUAGCAGCAAGCACCCCAGAACUCAUCUUUAAGGAAGUCAUAGAUAUAUUUGAUGGUGUACAAGACGACCAGGCAGUUCGCAUGGCAGCUAAUUUGGGCUUCAAAGGAACUCUGCAGAGACAGGCAGCAGAUCAGAUUAAAAGGCUCUAUGAUCUCUUCCUGAAAGUCGACGCCACUCAAGUUGAAGUCAACCCUCUUGGAGAGACUCCUGAAGGACAAGUGGUAUGCUUUGAUGCUAAGAUCAACUUUGACGACAAUGCAGAGUUCCGUCAAAAGGCUGUCUUUGCCAUGGAUGACAUGACUGAGAGUGACCCCACAGAAAUGGAAGCUGCCAAGUGGGAUCUCAAAUAUAUUGGCCUGGAUGGAAACAUUGCCUGCUUUGUUAACGGAGCUGGAUUGGCUAUGGCCACAUGUGACAUCAUUGAUCUUCAUGGGGGAAAGCCAGCCAACUUCCUGGAUCUCGGAGGAGGAGUCAAGGAAAGACAGGUGUAUGAGGCCUUCAAGCUUCUUACUGCAGACCCUAAGGUGGAGGCCAUCCUAGUCAACAUCUUUGGAGGGAUUGUCAACUGUGCCAUUAUUGCCAAUGGUAUCACCAAAGCUUGUCGAGAACUGGAACUAAAGGUGCCGCUGGUGGUCAGGCUUGAAGUGAACCGCAGACGGGCCUGGACAUGUACUUUCUUCAGCUGGGGGACACGUCUGGCAGUGCAGGAUCCCAGCUCACUGGACAAACGUGCAAGAGGCCAAAAGGAUCCUGAGCGAGAGUGGCCUGCCCAUCACGGCCGCAGAUAACCUGGACGACGCUGCCAAGAAAGCGGUGGCCGCCAUCAAGAAGUAGAAAAGUCCAAUCUAUCUUCCUCAAGAACCUCCAGGUGCAAUACAGUGACCUUACAGUAAACGUGAUACCCAGCUUGGAAACUACUUUGGAAGUCAAAGUGAAAAGUAAGAACGGACCUAAUCUAUUAAUCAGGUUUUAAUUUCCAUCACCCCUAUCGAAGAGUCAACUAAAGACGCAAACUUGGGGAUGUGUGGGGCUCAUUGAGCUUCCCUCAUACCUGCCAGGCAAGCCGUAGAAAUAGACUGAAGGGUUCAAUAAUUGCCUUAUUUCAUGCUCUUGGCUGCGUGUCAGAAACCUCUCCGCUGAUGGAUUGGAAAGAGGAAUUUAAGGCUUGUUAAAGCAGCCUUCUCGGGUCCUGAUAUUGUUUAAUUCAGUGUCAAGCUGGAGGUCACAAUGAAAUGUGCACACUGAUUUACUGGGCAAAAUUAGUACCGCUCCAUCAUAUAAAUAUAGAUGAGGGUAAAGAAGCUUUGGAGGUCAGCCUGGAGACGUCUGUCAAGUCGCCUUUUAAGUGCACUAAAUACUUUGUAGGUGGGGCAAAGGGGUGUUGCUUUCAAUAACCCUUAGAGCAAAGGCUGCUCGUCUAAUUAAGCUAUAAUGCCGAGGCACUUUAAUUUUCCUUGGUGGCUUACUUGCUUCAUUUUGCUUUGUGAAAAUUUGUGUUGUGCUGAAGAAACGAUAUGAGAACAAUAAGCUGCUGUGUUGGGGUUCAUACAUCUGUCACAGAGCACUCUAUGAACUCACUGGCUGCCAUUGACUGCACCUGAUGUCCAGUCCAUUUUGACUGGGAGAAGCUGUCUAGCACUGUGAAGGAAUUCAUAUAUUUUCCUUUAUUUACUGUUUGACUGUUUGUAUUACUCUAACACCCCCAAAGCAAAGUAAAUAGAAUUCAAAUCAUAGUUUAAGAAAACAAGUAGAAUAUAUUUGAAGUAUUAGUAGUUGGACUUGGAGUGAUUGGAAUUUGCAGCGCCAAGACAACGGGCAGAUUAGGGCGGUAACAACUACAGGAUGCCUGCUGACUACGGAAGCCCAACGCGUGCGUCAUGUAGCUGACUGAGCGAGAUUGACGUUGAUGGAGCGAGACAAGCAGAGGGUUGGCAAAGGCAUCUAGAAGCCCCCGUCUGGAGCACCAAAUCCCACCAUCAGCUCUUCUAGUAACCAACAAUAGACAGUCAUGAACAAUGAAAGGAUAUCCUCUCCUCACACAAAGAACAUCUGAUAACAGAGGAACCAGCGACUGAGAAAUUGGCACUCAGCACUCACGUGACGCUCUCCUGUCCAAUCCACAACAGACAAUAGCCCUAAACAACGCCCAAACACCUUUCUUUUGGACCAUAGACCGCCUUACCAGAGCCUUUAAAAGACUACAGUGUAUCACAAAAGUGAGUACACACUUCUCAAUCAUUUCUGCAGAUAUUUAAGUAUAUCAUUUCAUGGGACAAC